UACAGAGGUCUCAAGCGUUGUUCGGAAUCACUGGGCGUAAAGGGUGCGUAGGCCGCACGGUAAGUCAGAGGUGAAAUCCCGGAGCUCAACUUCGGAAUUGCCUCCGAUACUGCCGUGCUUGAGGACUGGAGAGGAGAUUGGAAUUCACAGUGGAGCAGUGAAAUGCGCAGAUAUCAGGAAGAACACCAAUGGCGAAAGCAGCUCUCUGGGACGGUACUGACGCUGAGACGCGAAAGCGUGGGGAGCGAACAGG
rnacentral:rRNA from 1 species